UCCCUGGCAGUCCAGCAGUUAAGACUCUGAAUUCCCAAUGCAGAGGAUACAGGUUUGAUCCCUGGUCAGGGAA
rnacentral:tRNA from 1 species